CUGACCUGGGCCAGAUGCUGUGCUGGGCUCUCGAGAUAAAAGAUGAGAAGGACCCAGUCCUAGUUCCCAGGCAGCUUACCACCUGGGAGGGAGAGGAUUCAAGCUGGGAUGCCCGACUUAGACUGGCCAUUAGAGACAAUCCUGGCCUCCAGGGUCAGUCCUGCUCUUCCAGGUGCUUCCUCACACUCCUACUGACAAAUUGAGGCUACACAGGGACAAGGUUGUCUUUCAAAGAAGUGGUCCCCAGCCAGUAAUAUCUUAUGCCGUGGUUAUAGACAACACAGACAGGGGUGAAUAUGGGCCAUAAAAGAAAGAGGCAACAUGUGACAUUUAAUUCAAGAUUAAAAGAAAUCGUCAAUUGGAGCUGAUUGUGCUCAUCCAGAUGUCACCAGAAACAGCUGUAUGCCAUCUGCCGGAGUGGGUACCACCAGCUGGAGCAGCUCUCCUCAAGACCCUGGUUCUGCUUUUCUCCCCAGCAGGAAGAUGCUCCUGAGACAUACAGCUUCUCGAAAUGGUCUUGCAAGAUUGAGCAAUCAGUCGCACUUGGCAGCAGCCAGCUCGGUAAUGUGUCCUUCGAGUGGCUCUCCCCUCCCUGCCUCCUCUUCCUUCUUGGGAUUGCACUCCCUAAUAAAGAAGUA